rnacentral:rRNA from 1 species
UAGGGAAUCUUCCACAAUGGACGCAAGUCUGAUGGAGCAACGCCGCGUGAGUGAAGAAGGUUUUCGGACCGUAAAGCUCUGUUGUUGGUGAAGAAGGAUAGAGGUAGUAACUGGCCUUUAUUUGACGGUAAUCAACCAGAAAGUCACGGCUAACUACGUGCCAGCAGCCGCGGUAAAUACGUAGGUGGCAAGCGUUGUCCGGAUUUAUUGGGCGUAAAGCGAGCGCAGGCGGAAGAAUAAGUCUGAUGUGAAAGCCCUCGGCUUAACCGAGGAAUUGCAUCGGAAACUGUUUUUCUUGAGUGCAGAAGAGGAGAGUAGAACUCCAUGUGUAGCGGUGGAAUGCGUAGAUAUAUGGAAGAAUACCAGUGGCGAAGGCGGCUCUCUGGUCUGCAACUGACGCUGAGGCUCGAAAGCACGGGUAGCGAACAGGAUUAGAUACCCUGGUAGUCCAUGCCGUAAACGAUGAGUGCUAAGUGUUGGGAGGCUUCCGCCUCUCAGUGCUGCAGCUAACGCAUUAAGCACUCCGCCUGGGGAGUACGACCGCAAGGUUGAAAC